rnacentral:rRNA from 1 species
UACGGGGGGGGCAAGCGUUGUUCGGAAUUACUGGGCGUAAAGGGUGCGUAGGCGGCUCGCUAAGUUAGAUGUGAAAACUCUGGGCUCAACCCAGAGCCUGCAUCUAAAACUGGCGGGCUAGAGUUCUGGAGGGGGUAGCGGAAUUCCUGGUGUAGCGGUGAAAUGCGUAGAUAUCAGGAGGAACACCGAUGGCGAAGGCAGCUGCCUGGCCUAACACUGACGCUGAGGUGCGAAAGCGUGGGGAGCGAACGGG